CGAACGCUGGCGGCGUGCUUACCACAUGCAAGUCGACCGGUGAUGCUCCAGCUUGCUGGAGUGGAUCAGUGGCGAACGGGUGAGUAACACGUGAGCAACCUGCCCCAGACUCUGGAAUAAGCGCUGGAAACGGCGUCUAAUACUGGAUACGAAACUGGCCCGCAUGGGCAUGGUUUGGAAAGUUUUUCGGUUUGGGAUGGGCUCGCGGCCUAUCAGCUUGUUGGUGAGGUAAUGGCUCACCAAGGCGACGACGGGUAGCCGGCCUGAGAGGGCGACCGGCCACACUGGGACUGAGACACGGCCCAGACUCCUACGGGAGGCAGCAGUGGGGAAUAUUGCACAAUGGGCGAAAGCCUGAUGCAGCGACGCCGCGUGAGGGAUGACGGCCUUCGGGUUGUAAACCUCUUUCAGCAGGGAAGAAGCGAAAGUGACGGUACCUGCAGAAGAAGCACCGGCUAACUACGUG
rnacentral:rRNA from 1 species